rfam:Gloeobacter violaceus PCC 7421 DNA, complete genome.
AGUCAAGCUACACAGGGCGUACGGUGGAUACCUAGGCACAGUCAGCCGAUGAAGGACGCGGCUACCGGCGAAACGCGACGGGGAGCAGGAAGCAUGCUUUGAUCCGUCGGUGUCCGAAUGGGGAAACCCGGCAUCCUUAACAGGGUGUCGUCCGCAAGGACGGGAACCAGGCGAAUUGAAACAUCUUAGUAGCCUGAGGAAAAUAAAGUAAAAACGAUUCCCUCAGUAGCGGCGAGCGAACGGGGAAGAGCCCAAACCGAUGGGUUACGACCUGUCGGGGUUGUAGGACAGCUAUCUGGAGUGCGUUUGCUAGGCGAAUGGGUUGGAAAACCCGACCAAAGAAGGUGAUAGUCCUGUACUCGAAAGCAAACAAACCCUGGCUGAAUCCUGAGUAGCACGGGGCACGUGAAAUCCCGUGUGAAUCUGCGAGGACCAUCUCGUAAGGCUAAAUACUGUCUGUGACCGAUAGCGAUUAGUACCGCGAGGGAAAGGUGAAAAGAACCCCGGGAGGGGAGUGAAAUAGAACAUGAAACCGUAUGCCUACAAGCAGUGGGAGCACGAUUUAACGUGUGACCGCGUGCCUGUUGAAGAAUGAGCCGGCGAGUUACGGUCAGUGGCAGGUUAAGCCGAAAAUGGCGGAGCCAAAGGGAAACCGAGUCUGAAUAGGGCGCUAGUCACUGGUCGUAGACCCGAAGCCUGGUGAUCUAACCAUGGCCAGGAUGAAGCUUGGGUAACACCAAGUGGAGGUCCGAACCGACUGAUGUUGAAAAAUCAGCGGAUGAGCUGUGGUUAGGGGUGAAAUGCCAAUCGAACUAGGCGAUAGCUGGUUCUCCCCGAAAUGUGUUUAGGCACAGCGUUAGGUGUUUAUGGGCGGGGGUAGAGCACUGAUUCGGUGCGGGCUGCGAGAGCGGUACCAAAUCGAGCCAAACUCCGAAUACCGUCCAACAUAGCCUGGCAGUGAGACUGUGGGGGAUAAGCUCCAUGGUCGAGAGGGAAACAGCCCAGACCACCAACUAAGGUCCCCAAAUUGUAGCUCAGUGAUUAAGGAGGUGGGAUUGCACAGACAACCAGGAGGUUGGCCUAGAAGCAGCCACCCUUGAAAGAGUGCGUAAUAGCUCACUGGUCAAGCGAUCCUGCGCCGAAAAUGAACGGGGCUAAGCUACAUACCGAAGUUGUGGAUUUAUGGUAGGGGAGCGUUCCGCAGUAGGAUGAAGCGUCAGCGACAAGCAGGCGUGGACGAGGCGGAAGUGAGAAUGUCGGCUUGAGUAGCGCAAACAUUGGUGAGAAUCCAAUGCUCCGAAAGCACAAGGUUUCCUCCGGAAGGUUCGUCCGCGGAGGGUUAGCCGGGACCUAAGGCGAAGCCGAAGGGCGUAGUCGAUGGAUAACAGGUGUAUAUUCCUGUGCUGUGUCGCUGGAGUGUCAAAGGGACGCAUGAGGAUAGGCCAUACCCUUACUGGAUUGGGGAGCUCCUACGGGAGCAGUUUGGCCGAAAGUAGUGCCGAGAAAAGCUUUGCCACAUUGAAAGCACGCACCCGUACCCGAAACCGACACAGGUGUGCAGGUAGAGAAUACCAAGGAGCGCGAGAUAACCCUCUUUAAGGAACUCGGCAAAAUAGCCCCGUAACUUCGGAAGAAGGGGUGCCCCCGCGAGGGGGUCGCAGUGAAAUGGCUCUGGCGACUGUUUACCAAAAACACAGGUCUCUGCAAAGCCGCAAGGCGACGUAUAGGGGCUGACUCCUGCCCAGUGCCGGAAGGUUACGGAAGUCGGUUAGCGAAAGCGAAGCUGGCGACCUAAGCCCCGGUGAACGGCGGCCGUAACUAUAACGGUCCUAAGGUAGCGAAAUUCCUUGUCGGGUAAGUUCCGACCUGCACGAAAGGAGUAACGAUCAGAGCGCUGUCUCGAAGAGGGACUCGGCGAAAUAGGAUUGUCUGUGAAGAUACGGACUACUUGUACCCGGACAGAAAGACCCUAUGAAGCUUUACUCUAGCUUGAAAUUGGGUUCGGGCUUUGUCUGCGCAGGAUAGGCGGGAGCCGGUGAUACAUCUCUUGCGGGGGGUGUGGAGGCAACGGUGAGAUACCGCUCUGACAGGGUCUGGAUUCUAACCUACGGGGACAGUUUCAGGUGGGGAGUUUGACUGGGGCGGUCGCCUCCUAAACGGUAACGGAGGCGCGCAAAGGUUCCCUCAGGCUGGUCGGAAAUCAGCCGCAGAGUGUAAAGGCAUAAGGGAGCUUGACUGCGAGACCUACAAGUCGAGCAGAGACGAAAGUCGGCCUUAGUGAUCCGACGGUUCUGCAUGGAAGGGCCGUCGCUCAACGGAUAAAAGUUACUCUAGGGAUAACAGGCUGAUCUCCCCCAAGAGUCCACAUCGACGGGGAGGUUUGGCACCUCGAUGUCGGCUCGUCGCAACCUGGGGCGGUAGUACGUCCCAAGGGUUGGGCUGUUCGCCCAUUAAAGCGGCACGUGAGCUGGGUUCAGAACGUCGUGAGACAGUUCGGUCCAUAUCCGGUACAAGCGCAAGAGUGUUGAGAGGAGCUCUCCCUAGUACGAGAGGACCGGGAGGGACUGACCGCUGGUGUACCUGUUAUCGUGCCAACGGUAAACGCAGGGUAGCUAUGUCGGGAGUGGAUAACCGCUGAAAGCAUCUAAGUGGGAAGCCCACCUCAAGAUGAGCACUCUCUCCGCAAGGGUAAGACCACGGGAAGAUUACCCGUUAAUAGGCUCUAGGUGGAAGCGCAGCAAUGUGUGCAGCCGAGGAGUACUAAUAGGUCGAGGGCUUGACUUA